AACGAACGCUGGCGGCAUGCCUAACACAUGCAAGUCGAACGAGACCUUCGGGUCUAGUGGCGCACGGGUGCGUAACGCGUGGGAACCUGCCCUUAGGUUCGGAAUAACUCCCCGAAAGGGGUGCUAAUACCGGAUAAUUUCUUCGGACCAAAGAUUUAUCGCCUUUGGAUGGGCCCGCGUUGGAUUAGCUAGUUGGUAGGGUAAAAGCCUACCAAGGCGACGAUCCAUAGCUGGUCUGAGAGGAUGAUCAGCCACACUGGGACUGAGACACGGCCCAGACUCCUACGGGAGGCAGCAGUGGGGAAUAUUGGACAAUGGGCGAAAGACUGAUCCAGCAAUGCCGCGUGAGUGAUGAAGGCCUUAGGGUUGUAAAGCUCUUUUACCCGGGAUGAUAAUGACAGUACCGGGAGAAUAAGCUCCGGCUAACUCCGUG
rnacentral:rRNA from 1 species